GACUAACUGUAAGUGUUACUUCUGCAGUUCGGUUCUGGAGGCAUCAGCUGGAGGAGUGAUUGGACUUCCCUUCCUACACACCAGCAAUAAUCGUCUUGCACCAACAGUCCUGGAGAUUUUGAAGUGAAUUGAGGCAUGAAGAGAGAAUCACUCAGCUUUAGUGCUAUGGUCCUCUUGUCCCCUGCUCGUGAGGCAUCCCACAAUGUGAAUUUUACUAAGGUGUGGCAGAGACCAGUUCAUUAUAUGGAACGGAUCAUCAGUUUCCUUUGCUAUCUAAAACUAUGAAUUGGGAAGGGUCCAACCUUGUAUUCCUUGCAACCUAACACUCCCAUUGAAGUCAAUGGAAGAUUAAGAUGUCCAAGGAAUAAAUGAUCUGAUCCUAAAGAAGCA
rnacentral:lncRNA from 1 species